rnacentral:lncRNA from 1 species
CCUUCGGGGAACCCGACCGAGGCCCAGCCCGGCCUGCCCCGCGCGCCGCUCACCGAGCCGAACCCCCGCAACUUCGCGCCCUCUGGAGCCCCGAGUCGCGGGCACGCCCCGGCCGCACUCACCGCGCUUGGACUCGGUGUGGCGCCCCGGCUCCGCUCCCUCCCGCACCGCCGCGGCCAGCGGAAACGGGGGGCGGGGCCGGCAGGCGGAGGGGGCGGGACCUUCACCGGGCUGCGGGGCGGGGUCUGAAUGCUCGAGGGCGGGGCUGGGAAGGGGCCGGGUGGGAGAGGCGGAGAGGACUAGGGAAGGCCGGCGGUUUGCGCCGCGGGAGGACUCGGCUGCCAGAGGCAAGGCAGAGCCCGGCUGAGCGAGGCAAAGGGCCGCACGGGAGCCCCCCUCCACUCCACUCCACUCCGGCCAUUUACCCCGCAUCUCACUGUGUAGCUCUGAUGGACCUGGAACCAGGCUGUCCAGGACUUCCCUGUGUGGACCACCCACACUGUUCUACAACUCAGAGACUCUCCUGCCUCUGACUCCUGAGUGCACAGAUUAAAGGCAUCCCACCAUGCUCAGCAGAAGAUAUACUAGGACUGCAGGGACAGGCCAGCCCAUCCAGCUUGAGACAAAGUGUUUAAACUGCAAGGAUCUCCCUUGCAUUCCCCUAACUGCUUGGCAGUUUCCACUAAUCUCCUGGGCUACCUCCCUUAGUCUUGUUUGUUUCAGUUAGAUUCAACCCCUAAUCCAGCCCCCAGGGGUUCUCAUUUCUCAGCCUGAGAAACAGUCUCCUCUCUUCCUUCAAAACCUCAUUCAAACCAAGUGGUGGUGGUGGUGCUCUCCUUUAAUCCCAGCAGUUGGGAGGCAGAGGCAGGUGGAUCUCAGUGAGUUUGAGACCAGCCUGGUCUACAAAGUGAGUUCCAG